GUAGGGAAUAUUGGGCAAUGGAUGCAAGUCUGACCCAGCCAUCCCGCGUGCCGGAAGAAGGCCCUCAGGGUUGUAAACGGCUUUUGACGGUGAAGAAUCGACAGGAUGCGUCCUGUUUUGACGGUAGCCGUUGAAUAAGCACCGGCUAACUCCGUGCCAGCAGCAGCGGUACUACGGAGGGUGCGAGCGUUGUCCGGAUUUAUUGGGUUUAAAGGGUGCGUAGGGUGGAAGGUCAGUCAGCGGUGAAGAGCUGUCGAGUAACGAUAGUCUUGCCGCAGAUACUUCCUUUCUUGACUGAGGAGGAGUGCACUGGAACGGAUGGUGUAGCGGUGAAAUGCAUAGAUAUCAUCCAGAACACCGAUUGCGAAGGCAGGUGGCUGUACCUUAAUCGACGCUGAUGCACGAAAGCAUGGGGAGCAAACAGGAUUAGAAACCCUGGUAGUCC
rnacentral:rRNA from 1 species